UACGGAGGGUGCAAGCGUUAUCCGGAUUUACUGGGUUUAAAGGGUGUGUAGGCGGGCUUUUAAGUCAGUGGUGAAAUCUCCGAGCUCAACUUGGAAACUGCCAUUGAUACUAUUAGUCUUGAAUGUUGUUGAGGUGGGCGGAAUAAGUCAUGUAGCGGUGAAAUGCUUAGAUAUGACUUAGAACACCGAUUGCGAAGGCAGCUCACUAAACAAUGAUUGACGCUGAGGCACGAAAGCGUGGGGAUCAAACAGG
rnacentral:rRNA from 1 species